GCAAACGCCACCAGCUCCUCGCCCUCCAUCAUGUUCUUGGUGGUGGUGCACCACAGCUGGCCACCUGGACAAAACAGAGAUAGAGGAGACAUUUAAAUACUUAUUCCGAGACAAGAGAAAGUUUUGCUGCGUGUACACGCUACUGGCGCUCCUAUCCAGAAACAAGGCAAACCUCAGCUGUGGUAAACUGUAGCCUACAGUGCUGUUGUCAGCUGGAACAUUGAGACAGGAGGCACUCUUCUCAUGCAGAAGCUGCUGGUGGAUGUUGUUGCUGCGAUGAUGCAGACACCUCAGACAUGGCAGAGCAGCGUAGACGCCAGUCUGCCUAUACAUCUUUGCAGGUUUGUCCCAUUGAGCACUCUAUUAGCUAUCCUUCUCUGCGGGUAGUGCUGCCUGUGUCCUGGUUGUGGCCGGUCGACAUGUGUUUACUGCGGCCCCUGCUGUGGCGGCAGGCUGGUCGGGGUCCCGUCCUGACCAAGCCCUGCUAAUGGGACCAGAAGACCCCUCGUGACAGGGCGCCGCUGUGGUGAGCACCGCAGCAAAUUCUACCCCUCCCUCCCCUCCAGCUGCGGCCUCAUGGCCCAUGUCCCCCUACCCAUCAUGCCUCGGCGGGAGCAGGUGAACGGCGGAGGGCCAACGCCGGUGAGCUUGGUUUUUCCUGGGAGAGCAGUGCGCCAUUGCCACGCGCCUCAGUGGUUCCUCCAACAUGGCUCCGGCCCUACGCCACAUGGGCUGGCUGGCCAUUCUGUGUGUCUGUGUGUUUUUAAGUGUGUGGGUGUGUGUGUGUGUGUGUGUGUGUAUGUGGGGGUGUAUGGUGGAUGCCAGCCCUAAUGCAAAUGCUUGCCGUUUAAAAAAUGGGAGCCUCUCUCCUCCUCUGUCUCUCCUCUUUGGAAAGGUCUAUUUUGGCCUUCUGGUGCUGGCAGUUAUUUUUUUCCUUUCCAGAAGGACAGAGAGCCAGGAAGAUGCACCUGUCAUCCAUUUUGAAAUUCAACAUUAUUGAUCUGGUCAUGAGGAAUGGAAUUUAUGAUGCUAUGUGUCUUUCUAAAUGAAUACUUAUUGAUUUGUGCCUUAAAACAUACAUAUUUCUCUUUUGCAAAGUGUUUCUGUGCCUUAUUUACGAGCAUGCUGAUUUGGUGUUUACAGCACAGCAAUACACAGAAAAAAAUAAACACUCACAGACACUCUCGCACUCUCACCACAAACACACACUUACACACAUGCAUAUACACUAGUCACCGGUGCAACAUCCCAGCAUGCCCUCUGUCUCUGCACCCCUGUAAUUCUACAUAUUGCUUAAAGUAUGUGCUAAUUAAAUUUUCUGUCGGUUUGCAAGAGAAAUAAAUAAUCUGCAGCUAAAAGGCCUAAUUGCGUUUGUCACAUUGUGUCUCGGUGGCUGGUACAUCGGGAGCACAGCCGCUGCCCUUGCUCAUUGCCAUUCUGUCGUCCUGGCAAGCCCCUGCGCUGCCCCAGGUAUCACCACGCGGCCAUCUGGAGCCGACAUCUGUCUCUCUAUUGAUCACAAGGGUUUAGCACUUGAUCAAACAGACUGCGACAGGAAAUUGCUCUUUUCCCCACAGAAAAGGCCAAUCGCCUGCGUGAGGGUAAUAGAGUGGAACUGAGAUGCAGCACCAGCGCGGUGGGCAGGCGGGCACGGGCACAGCCAGGCAGGCAGGCAGCGGCACGGCGGUGUCAGCCGCUGUGGAGGUGGCUGGGAAUGGCACAAGUGCUAAAGUCCACUGCCACGUUACCAAGACCAUGUUUAACCUAAUCUAACCUUUCUGUUUAUGCAACUGCAGCACUUCUAAUUUUACAGUAACACAAUCUUUCCAAAUUGUAAUUUACAAUCAUGCAAAUUUUGAGUUUUCCACUCUGAGCACAUCGUUGAGAACCAUGUGUAUGCAUGCUGAAGAUGAGACCAUCUCCUCUGAUUAAAAAAACUGUCAUUUGAA